UGCCAAGUCGAGCGAGAGGUCUUCGGACCCUAGCGGCGGACGGGUGAGUAACACGUAGGCAACCUGCCUGUAAGACUGGGAUAACAUAGGGAAACUUAUGCUAAUACCGGAUAGAGUUUUGCUUCGCAUGAAGCGAAACGGAAAGAUGGCGCAAGCUAUCACUUGCAGAUGGGCCUGCGGCGCAUUAGCUAGUUGGUGAGGUAAAGGCUCACCAAGGCGACGAUGCGUAGCCGACCUGAGAGGGUGACCGGCCACACUGGGACUGAGACACGGCCCAGACUCCUACGGGAGGCAGCAGUAGGGAAUUUUCCACAAUGGACGAAAGUCUGAUGGAGCAACGCCGCGUGAACGAUGAAGGCUUUCGGGUCGUAAAGUUCUGUUGUUAGGGAAGAAACAGUGCCAUUUAAAUAAGAUGGCACCUUGACGGUACCUAACGAGAAAGCCACGGCUAACUACGUGCCAGCAGCCGCGGUAAUACGUAGGUGGCAAGCGUUGUCCGGAAUUAUUGGGCGUAAAGCGCGCGCAGGUGGCUAUGUAAGUCUGAUGUUAAAGCCCGGGGCUCAACCUCGGUUCGCAUUGGAAACUGCGUAGCUUGAGUGCAGGAGAGGAAAGUGGUAUUCCACGUGUAGCG
rnacentral:rRNA from 1 species